GGACGAACGCUGGCGGCGUGCUUAACACAUGCAAGUCGAACGGAAAGGCCCUGCUUUUGUGGGGUGCUCGAGUGGCGAACGGGUGAGUAACACGUGAGUAACCUGCCCUUGACUUUGGGAUAACUUCAGGAAACUGGGGCUAAUACCGGAUAGGAGCUCCUGCUGCAUGGUGGGGGUUGGAAAGUUUCGGCGGUUGGGGAUGGACUCGCGGCUUAUCAGCUUGUUGGUGGGGUAGUGGCUUACCAAGGCUUUGACGGGUAGCCGGCCUGAGAGGGGGACCGGCCACAUGGGGACUGAGAUCCGGCCCAGACCCCUUCGGGGGGCAGGAGGGGGGAAUUUGGCACAAUGGGCGGAAGCCGGAUGCAGCAACCCCGGGUGCGGGAGGCCGGCCUUCGGGUGGAAAACCGCUUUCGCCUGUGACGAAGCGUGAGGGACGGUAAUGGGUAAAGAAGCACCGGCUAACUACGU
rnacentral:rRNA from 1 species